AUGUUGGAAGUUUUUGUACGACGACUCAAUGAGUUUGUAUCACUGUGGUUGACUUUUGGUGGAGGAACCAGACUGGAUGUUGGAAGUGAUACCCGUCCCACACUGACGGUGCUGCCCCCCUCCAGUGAGGAGCUGGACCAGGGCAAGGCCACACUCACGUGUCUGGCCAACAAGGGCUUCCCCUCAGACUGGAGUCUGACCUGGAAGGUGGACGGCAGCAGCAGCAGCUGGGAUCAGAACAGGAGCCCCGCGGUGCUGCAGAAGGACGGCCUCUACAGCUGGAGCAGCACCCUGAGGCUCACUGCAGACCAGUGGAGGAAGGUGGGCUCUGUAACCUGCGAGGCCACCCACGGCUGUAAGGCUCUCUCAGAGACACUGAGGAGAGACCAGUGUUCCCAGUCGUGAUCUGACUCACUGGAAGUCUGCUACUGGUUUUACUCUGCUACUGCUCUCACUCUGAUCUCUGCUACUCUGUUGUGUUUUUCUCUCAGUCUCUUUAAAUGUUGCAGUAGUGAUGUUUCUUGCUCAGUGAUUUCAAUAUUUCUAGAAAAUAAA